GAUGAACGCUGGCGGCGUGCUUAACACAUGCAAGUCGAACGGUGAAGCAGGAGCUUGCUCUUGUGGAUCAGUGGCGAACGGGUGAGUAACACGUGAGCAACCUGCCCCUGACUCUGGGAUAAGCGCUGGAAACGGCGUCUAAUACUGGAUAUGUGAUGUGACCGCAUGGUCUGCAUCUGGAAAGAAUUUCGGUUGGGGAUGGGCUCGCGGCCUAGCAGCUUGUUGGUGAGGUAAUGGCUCACCAAGGCGUCGACGGGUAGCCGGCCUGAGAGGGUGACCGGCCACACUGGGACUGAGACACGGCCCAGACUCCUACGGGUGGCAGCAGUUUCGAAUCAUUCACAAUGGGCGAAAGCCUGAUGGUGCGACGCCGCGUGAGGGAUGAAGGUCUUCGGAUUGUAAAAUUCUUUCACCGGGGACGAUAAUGACGGUACCCGGAGAAGAAGCCCCGGCUAACUUCGUGCCAGCAGCCGCCGUAA
rnacentral:rRNA from 1 species